UCCUGGUGGCUAAGAUGGUAAAGCAUCUGCCUGCAGUGCAGGAGAUCUAGAUUCAAUCCCUGGGUCAGGAA
rnacentral:tRNA from 1 species